rnacentral:lncRNA from 10 species
ACUCGGCUCUCAGUGCUGGAGCAGUGCUGCAGGGGAAUAACCUGGUUGCUAUAGCCAAGACAGUCUGGGAGUCCAGAGCUGACAGCAGGCCUCUCUCUUAUAAUUCAUGAAAUCCACUGGAUUCAUCACUCAAAUGAUUCGCUGCAGUAGCGCCUGGGCCUGGCCUUCUCUGAGGAGUACAAGACAUGCCAGCUUUAGAGUCAGAGCUGCUUCGAGUUCCCCCAUUAGCUGUGUGUCCUUUUGUACCUUUACCUCUCUGGGCCUUGGUUUCCCAUCAGUAAAAAUGGGGAUCAUACCUCUGAGGGUUUUAUAGGGAUUAGAGGAGGCCACAGCCACAACACAUACCACAGUGCCUGACACUUAGCAUUGAGUCAGUGUUUGCUCCCAAUAGCGCAGAUAUUGUCAUCAUUAUUAUUUCCCAGGUGGUGUUAACAGGAGCCCAGUCAACAGUUUGUACCAGGUCUACAUUCACCUGUUAGUUCAAGUUACUCGACACCCCAGCUCCCUCAUUUCCUCCCCAGCAUUUCCUGAGGGGCCUGGAGUCUUAAAGCAACCUUUUCGAGAGAGUGUUGCCUUCCCUCCCCGCCCCAUCAGUCCCGUCCUGCCAACCUGGAGCGACUCUAGUUGAAUCUGACCUCUAGUUGGAUCCAGCUGGGCCAAUGUGCCCUGCCCUGCCUUCCUCAGGGGCCUGUUGUAGAGAACAAAUGAAGUAAUGGAUGGGAAGCCUCUUUGUGAACUCUAAGUUAAUACAAACAGAAGAGAUUAUCAUUAAAAGCGACAAGUCCCCCGUUGAUUAGAGCAUUUCUUUAGGGAGAAAAAUAGCACUCCG